AUGGCCUGGACCCCUCUCCUUUUCCCCCUCCUCACUCUCUGCACAGGCUCCGUGGUCUCCUCUGAGCUGACUCAACCCCCCUCAGUGUCAGUGACCCUGGGACAGACGGCCAGCAUCACCUGUUCUGGGGAUAACAUUGAGGAUGCAUAUGCUCACUGGUACCAACAGAAGCCAGGCCAGGCCCCUGUGCUGCUCAUCUAUGAGAAUACUGACCGGCCCUCAGGGAUCCCUGACUGAUGCUCUGGCUCCCAGUCGGGGAACAUGGCCACCCUGACCAUCAGCAGGGCCCAGGCUGAGGAUGAGGCCGACUAUUACUGUCAAUCAUUGGACAGUAGUUAUGAUCGGUAUGUCUUUGGCAGUGGGACCCAGCUCACCGUCCUAGGUCAGCCCAAGGCCUCGCCCUCAGUCACUCUCUUCCCACCAUCCUCUGAGGAGCUCCAAACCAACAAGGCCACACUGGUUUGUCUCAUGAAUGACUUCUACCCGGGCACCUUGACAGUCACCUGGAAGGCAGAUGGCAAAACCAUCACCCAGGGUGUGGAGACCACCAAGCCCUCCAAACAGAGCAACAACAAGUACGCAGCCAGCAGCUACCUGACCCUGACGCCGGAGACAUGGAAGUCUCACAACAGUUACAGCUGCCAGGUCACGCACGAGGGGAAUACUGUCGAGAAGAAGAUGGCCCCUGCAGAGUGUACAUAG